UUGGAGGGCAAGUCUGGUGCCAGCAGCCGCGGUAAUUCCAGCUCCAAUAGCGUAUAUUAAAGUUGUUGCAGUUAAAAAGCUCGUAGUUGAAUUUCGGGAUCGACGGGUCGGUCGCGCCUCUGGUGUGUACUGGCCCUGUCGGUUUCUCCCUUCUGACGAACCACGAUGUCAUUAAUUUGGUGUCGUGGGAAAUCAGGACUGUUACUUUGAAAAAAUUAGAGUGUUUAAAGCAGGCAUUCGCUUGAAUACAUUAGCACGGAAUAAUGAAAUAGGACGUUUGAUCUUAUUUUGUUGGUUUCUAAGAUCGACGUAACGAUUAAUAGGGAUAGUUGGGGGCAUUAGUAUUCAAUUGUCAGAGGUGAAAUUCUUGGAUUUAUUGAAGACUAACUACUGCGAAAGCAUUUGCCAAGGAUGUUUUCAUUAAUCAAGAACGAAAGUUAGGGGACCGAAGACGAUCAGAUACCGUCGUAGUCUUAACCAUAAACUAUGCCGACUAGGGAUCGGAUGAUGUUAAUUUUUUAAUGACUCAUUCGGCGCCUUACGGGAAACCAAAGUGUUUGGGUUC
rnacentral:rRNA from 1 species